UGACGGGAGGUGGAGGUGGAGAUAGAACGAGGGUGUCGGCCAUUUUGUGUCUGUUUCCUGCCGGACGUGGUGGUGGCGGUUGGUUCCGAGAACUGUGCGAGUCUCUUCUCUUUUUUUUGUUUUUCGUUUUUCCCCCCAGCUUCUUUUCGCCUCUAUUCUGCCUAGUCUGUAGUGCGCAGUUAUGGGUCGCAAGAAGAAGAAGCAGCUGAAGCCGUGGUGCUGGUAUUGUAACAGAGAUUUUGAUGAUGAGAAGAUCCUUAUACAGCACCAAAAAGCAAAGCAUUUUAAAUGCCACAUAUGUCAUAAGAAAUUGUACACAGGACCUGGUUUAGCUAUUCAUUGCAUGCAGGUACAUAAAGAAACCAUAGAUGCAGUACCAAAUGCAAUACCUGGGAGAACAGACAUAGAAUUGGAAAUAUAUGGCAUGGAAGGUAUUCCAGAAAAGGAUAUGGAUGAAAGACGGCGACUUCUUGAACAGAAAACACAAGAGAGUCAAAAAAAGAAACAACAAGAUGAUUCUGACGAAUAUGAUGACGACGAAUCUGCAGCCUCGACUUCCUUUCAGCCACAGCCUGUUCAACCUCAGCAAGGUUAUAUCCCACCAAUGGCUCAGCCAGGACUGCCUCCAGUUCCUGGGGCACCAGGAAUGCCUCCAGGCAUACCUCCCUUGAUGCCCGGUGUUCCUCCCCUGAUGCCAGGCAUGCCCCCAGUUAUGCCAGGAAUGCCACCUGGAUUGCAUCAUCAGAGAAAAUACACCCAGUCAUUUUGCGGUGAAAACAUAAUGAUGCCAAUGGGUGGAAUGAUGCCACCUGGACCUGGAAUACCACCUCUGAUGCCGGGUAUGCCACCAGGUAUGCCCCCACCUGUUCCACGUCCUGGAAUUCCUCCAAUGACUCAAGCACAGGCUGUUUCAGCACCAGGUAUUCUCAAUCGACCACCUGCACCGACAGCAGCAGUACCCGCUCCACAGCCUCCAGUUACUAAGCCUCUUUUCCCCAGUGCUGGACAGAUGGGGACACCUGUAACAAGCUCAAGUACAGCUUCAUCCAAUUCAGAAAGUCUGUCUGCAUCUUCUAAAGCUCUGUUUCCUAGCACAGCACAAGCUCAGGCAGCUGUCCAAGGACCUGUUGGUACAGAUUUUAAGCCCUUAAAUAGUACCCCUGCAGCAACGACUACAGAACCCCCGAAGCCUACAUUCCCUGCUUAUACACAGUCUACAGCUUCAACCACUAGUACAACAAACAGUACUGCAGCUAAACCAGCAGCUUCAAUAACAAGUAAGCCUGCUACACUGACAACCACCAGUGCAACCAGUAAGUUGAUCCAUCCAGAUGAGGAUAUAUCACUGGAAGAAAGAAGGGCACAGUUACCUAAAUAUCAGCGAAAUCUUCCUCGACCAGGACAAACUCCGAUUGGUAAUCCACCAGUUGGACCAAUUGGGGGCAUGAUGCCACCACAGCCAGGCAUACCACAGCAGCAAGGAAUGAGGCCUCCAAUGCCACCUCAUGGUCAGUAUGGUGGUCACCAUCAAGGAAUGCCUGGUUAUCUUCCUGGCGCUAUGCCACCAUAUGGACAGGGACCACCAAUGGUGCCCCCUUACCAAGGUGGGCCUCCUCGACCUCCAAUGGGAAUGAGACCUCCUGUAAUGUCGCAAGGUGGCCGUUACUGAUCUUACUUCAAGUCUAAUAGGUUUUUAGAAGUGAAGUAUAGUAAAUUUGGUUCGUUAAAUUGUGAAGGCGCUGGAAUUACAUGAACAUACCACCUUAAAUAAAGCCCUGCCAUAGGACAGGCUGAGGCUGAGUCUCAGUGUUGCCCUGUUCAGUCUGAGCAGCAGAAUUUCAGCAUUUGCUACUUACUGGUAGAGAAGAAAAACCCCACAGCCCUGCCAGUACAGGUUAGUUUAAUCUUUUAUAAGAAUGGCGUAGAUACAGUGGAAAUGGUUUUCCUUAAAACCAUCUCUUUAAGAGCUGCCUUUCUGGUGAGUACUGCUUUAUAAUUUUUGUAUCACACUUUUUUAAAGCUAGCUGGGAGGUGACAGUGAUUGAAAAGUGCAGUCCGAAUUGUCAAAGCUUGGACCAGAACCUUAAGAUGAUGGUUACUACCUGAUUCUCUAUGUUCCCUAUUUAGAUUCUCUUUUUUCCCCCUCAUUUCCCUAAAGGAUUGUGUGCAUAAAAACAUUGAACGCAGAUCAUUUGCUUUGGUGAGGGGAAAAAUUGUUUUUGUUUUUGUUUGUUUUUUUAAAUGUUUAAGAAAAUGUAGGGACAGGAGACAUGGCUCACUAGUUAAGACCAUGUCAUUCUCCAGGUGGUGGCAUACGCUCUGGAGGCAGAGACCAGUGCAUCUCUGAGUUUCAGGACAACCAGGGCUGUAUAGAGGAGUCUCCCCCAAAGUGAAGGAAUGUGUCCUACGUUUGUUUAGUCAGUUCAGGUUCCCAGUGUGUGUCCUGGCUCACAACCACCGCUCCUUCAGGAUCUGACACCUUGGACUUUUGUGCUCAUAUACUUAAAACACAUGCAUACAAUUAAGAAAUACAUAUGUUUUAAAGAUCAGAGAUUACCUUUUUUGCCCCAGUGCUCAUUUCUCACUGCCAUAGGUUAAAGAAAUAAUAGAUUUAGUACUCUCUUCUCGAGUACUUGAACUGUAUAAAUCAUUCCAACCCUGCAUGGAAAACUUGCAUUACAAAUGCAGAUUUUUAGCAUUUGUUUACCUGGGAAGAUUAACUUACAAAAAUAUUUUACUGUCUUGUUUAGUGACUAGUUUGUAACAAGGAUUUCUUUCCCUGUAGUUUUUAAGCUAGAUUUUUAGAUAAUGCAGGCAUAUUUGUAUAUACAUUGUAUUUCUUCUAUGAUUUUUGUGAAUAAAUCUACCUUUUUCCUCCUUAGUAUAGACAAUAUUUGUUUUCUAAAAUCUGAAAUGUAUAAUCUGAGCGUGUGUGGUAAUGUAUUCUAGCUGAGCUCUCAACAAAGUUUUGAGCCUAAAUUUGUGUCUUUAGAUUAUAGUGAAAUAAAUUUCUAAGGAACUCUGUCCUUUCCUAGCAUGGAUAAACAGACAGUGACAGUUGGUAAGUAUGUAACUUUAAAUGCAUGUAGUAGUGGUAAAAUUGAGCUACCAAACUCUAUUCCAAGACAGUUAGAAGUGAGUCCUUCUAGGACUUCAUAUGUAUAUCUGACAUUUUCUCCAAAUCUAUGUACUCAUGAUUAAACUGAAAUGCACCUUACUCGUCUGAUUUGUUUUUUGUUGUUCAUUUUGUUUUUAGAAGAAUUUUGUAUGGCAGUUUAAAAAUCUAAUUUUAUAUUUAAAACUUUCCUUGGUGUAUCAGUACGUGGCUCUUCUGACAACCCAAUAUUGAUCCGAAGUUUACUUCAAACACUUUGGUUUCCAUUUAUAACUAAGCAAACUAUGGUGGCAAAGGAGAGGACCACUCUAAUUUUAGUCUAUAAUAGGAAAUCAGUGCAGAAUUACGCUUUAUUUUUAUUUAUGUGUCUGUGGUGCACCCACAUGCAGUUUUCUCCUGAGGCCAGAAGAUUGUCUGAUUGUUAGAGUGGAGUAGAGCUUCAGACGCUGGUAACCCACCCUGAGCAGUACCCAUUCAUCCUUGGGCCAGUUCGGGUCAGUGUUGGAAUUUGGUGGUGGGAAGAAGGCUUUCUUAUUUUUUAUGAUUGCAGCCCCCCAAUUGUGAGGAUUAUUUCAGGGGGUAUGUAGGUAGAUCGGAGGACAACUUCUUUACAGUUUGUGUUCGUAUGUGGUUUCUAGGGAGACAUCUCAACCACCCUCUGGUGUUCUGUUGGUAACAGAAGUAUGACAGGUAAAAUGAAAAGCAUUUUAAUUUUAUUUCUGAGACAUGAGUCAUUUAUUUACAGCAUUGUUUUCUGAAAAGUUAAAGAAGUGGGUAUGCAUGUCUUUAAUUUAGUCUCCAGGUUUACUCCUAACAAGUGUCAGUUGGAUUUGGAGAAAAUGAAGAGCCAAAUCCUGUGGGGGAUGUGAUUGUAUGGAGGAUCUGAGCAUAGCAGCAGGAGGAAGAAUAAACUUGCUAGCCUGUGUGGUAUUAAAUGGUACAGGAGCAGAGAUCGUGACGAAUGUUACUUUAUAACUAUGUCUGCUAAAGAUAAUUAUAUGCUAGCCUUUAAUUCAUUAACAUUGGAACCUUGUGAUACAUGAAUUUUGGUCGAGUUUAUUUAAAAAUAAAAAUUUCCCACACAAA